GAGGAAUAAGCAUCGGCUAACUCCGUGCCAGCAGCCGCGGUAAUACGGGGGAUGCAAGCGUUAUCCGGAAUCAUUGGGCGUAAAGCGCCUGUAGGUUGUUUAAUAAGUCUGUUGUUAAAGACUGGGGCUUAGCCCCAGGAAAGCAAUGGAAACUACUAGACUAGAGUAUGGUAGGGGUAAAGGGAAUUUCUAGUGUAGCGGUGAAAUGCGUAGAUAUUAGAAAGAACACCGGUGGCGAAAGCGCUUUACUGGACCAUUACUGACACUCAGAGGCGAAAGCUAGGGUAGCCAAAGGGAUUAGAUACCCCUGUAGUCCUAGCCGUAAACGAUGGAUACUAGAUGUUGCGCUUAUUGUGCAGUGUCGUAGCUAACGCGUUAAGUAUCCCGCCUGGGGAGUACGAUCGCAAGGUUGAAACUCAAAGGAAUUGACGGGGGCCCGCACAAGCGGUGGAGCAUGUGGUUUAAUUCGAUGCAACGCGAAGAACCUUACCAGGGCUUGACAUACUGCAAAUUUCUUUGAAAGAGAAAAGUGCCUUCGGGAAUGCAGAUACAGGUGGUGCAUGGCUGUCGUCAGCUCGUGUCGUGAGAUGUUGGGUUAAGUCCCGCAACGAGCGCAACCCUCGUUUUUAGUUGCCAUUUUAUGGGUUCUCUAGAAAGACUGCCGGUGACAAACCGGAGGAAGGUGGGGAUGACGUCAAGUCAGCAUGCCCCUUAUGCCCUGGGCUACACACGUGCUACAAUGGCUAAGACAAAGAGUCGCGAAUUCGCGAGAAUCAGCUAAUCUCAUAAACUUAGUCUAAGUUCAGAUUGUAGGCUGCAACUCGCCUGCAUGAAG
rnacentral:rRNA from 1 species